AUGAACGCUGGCGGCGUGCCUAACACAUGCAAGUCGAACGGAGAAUACAUUUUAAAGCACUUAGCUUGCUAAGCGUGGAAAUGUUGUAUUCUUAGUGGCGGACGGGUGAGUAACGCGUGGAUAACCUGCCUCACACUGGGGGAUAACAGUCAGAAAUGGCUGCUAAAACCGCAUAAGCGCACAGCAUCGCAUGAUGCAGUGUGAAAAAACAUUAGUGGUGUGAGAUGGAUCCGCGUCUGAUUAGCUAGUUGGUAGGGUAAGAGCCUACCAAGGCGACGAUCAGUAGCCGGCCUGAGAGGGUGACCGGCCACAUUGGGACUGAGACACGGCCCAAACUCCUACGGGAGGCAGCAGUGGGGGAUAUUGCACAAUGGGGGAAACCCUGAUGCAGCGACGCCGCGUGAGCGAAGAAGUAUUUCGGUAUGUAAAGCUCUAUCAGCAGGGAAGAAAAUGACGGUACCUGACUAAGAAGCCCCGGCUAACUACGUGCCAGCAGCCGC
rnacentral:rRNA from 1 species